rnacentral:lncRNA from 1 species
GGAGAAUAGAUCUGGAACAGAUGCUAAGGAGAAUGGAAAGAGUAGUAACUAGUAACAAAUGAAAAUCAAGUUAAAUGGUGUUGGGACCCAGGUGAGUCUGGAAACCUUGAAAUUGUAGCUGUUUCAGUUGCACAGUUGGGCAACUUUCCUUACUUCCAUUGCUCAAAUCAACAGUGUACAAACAAUGAAGGCCAGCACAAGAGGGACUCGGCAGUGUAAAAAGGGUGAGUUCACUGAGAAAUGAGCGAGAAGUUUAGAUGGAAAAAGAGUCCAUGAGGGAUUGAUGGAUUAGGGCAAGAAGGAAAGGCUGCAGGAACUAGGGAUGAAGUUGAAGAGCAAACUUCAAAUCCAAUGAUUAUUCUGUGCGUUUUGUUUAUGGGAUCAAAUUAUAUAUUCUAUAUAGCCAUUAGGGUGUAUUUGGUUAAAAGUAAAAUCUACCCCCUCAAAUGACUUUCAAUAACGGGACAUAACAAAAAAUCUAGAACUAGGCAUCUCUGUGAGUAGUUAAAUAAAUGGCACAAUAAUAUCAGGAAUCUGGGCCAAUGUCUCUGCUCUCGUCUCCGUUACUCUCACAAAUUGUAAAAUGGCUGCCAGAAGUCACCACAGGAUUCCUGUCUUUGUAAAACACUACCCCUAGCCAGCCUUGGGAGGUCUAAGCCAUGGUGUGAUUGCUGCUGCUGUGGGUGUGGUUUUCUCCCUAACGCCAGAUGGAGUAGGCUUCUGCUAACUAUGACAACAGUGAAGAGUGGUCUAUGAGAAUCAGAAGUUAUUAUUCUUUAGAAUAGCCAUCAAACAAAAACUCACUACCGUUAAGUACCCAAGUGACAGUCACUGCACUAGUGCUUCAGGUAUUUUUCCUAGAGAUCUUUACAUCAAUGCAGUAAGGAAUAAUUUCCCUAUUUAUCAGGUGUGGAAAAUGAAGCCCACUGAAGGGAAAGUACUUGGCUGGGGUCACUCAGGACUUCCCCAAGUUCAAGGACUCUAAGCACUGAAUGGAGAAUAACAAAGAAGGAGGAAUGUAAAUAUGUAAUAACACAUCACCUAUCAGAGUUUUGAAAUAUAUAAAUUGUGCUCAGGCUAAAAUGCCAGUCACUUUCCCCUGUUGCCUGCAGAUUAGAAGAGCCUUCUGUGAAGAGGAGCCAUCCUGCCCUGCUCUCUGACCACUUAAUUUGGCCAGGGACAGAUUCUUGGCCCAAAGUG